GCAGUUCCUUUCUGCGGAGCUAUUUUUUUCGAUUCUGAUGCACGAUAUUGGUCGCCGGGGAAAAAAUUUUCCGUGAAAGAUGGGCAAGAAUCUAGAACCAGGCCAUCCGCCAUGAAGCCUUGUGAUAUUGUUUUGAUGCUUUUUGGGCCAUGUUUGAGAGAGAUUGUUCUUGGAAACUGUCCUGACACACUUCACGGAGCUGGAUGAACUAAUCUAGUUGUAAGGAACGUACAGGGAAGGAUUAUGGCAGGCUUCAGUUGAAAAAUAAAUUGGGCCAACUUCAAGAGCAGAUGCUUCAGACAAAAAUGCUACAAUUCCAGACCCUGGGAUCUGGAAUUGGUUGAUGCAGCUUCUAAAACAAAUAAAGCCACGGUUGCACCAAACAAAUCAUUGUCCUCUAUCACAGAGGCUGUAGAAGAACUUGAUUCUAUCGAUGAACUAGAAGAAAACACUGAACUCUAUGGUUUUGCAAUUGACCUUCUAAGGCCGAAUGAUAAUAGAGAAAUGUUCACGGCAUUGAAACCCCACAAAAAGAUGUUGACAAAUAUUAUUUAUGAAAUCACCAGACAUCUGAUUUCGGCCACUGUUCAAAGCUUAAAGAAAUUUGGCAUAAGAUGGAAAUUUGCAUGUAUUGACUUUGACGUUCUGAUUCCUAGUACUGUGGAAGUUCAAUUCCUGUUCUAACUAACUGAUUUCCGAUUUUGUUUGGAAUCAAUAUGACAAAUAACUCAUGUGCCAAAAUCUUGAUUCAACUUACGGAACCCAAAGAAUUGGUUGGGAACUUCUUUUUCAUAUGUUUAUAAAAAAUGCGCCAGCAUGUAUCUCAAGGAGAUCCAACAGAGACGGUUAAAGUACGGUUAAGGAUGGCCGACUAGCGGGAGGCUGAAGGACUAAGGCAAAUCAACCCGAGCAGAGGCAUCGACCUACUUCUCGCCACAACCCGAUUCAAGGGAAAAGUUCAGUAUCACCAGCUAUCUCGCGAGCGCUCCUGAGAUUCUUCAUCAGAGGUCAAGAAUUGAUAAUAACAUGACCAAUGAGCAUCCUGAAACGAUUCCCGUGAGUUGGGUUUAUAUUUAUUUUAUUCUAUAGAUGGAGUGAUUGGUCUUGGGUUUACUGCACAAUCUCAAUUAAUAUUUCUAUUUU